UCUACUGUUCUGGCUUACUCAUCCCAGAUAUGACUCCUUCAGUGCUGGUGAGACCUCAGAGGCCUCAGAGCCCUGCCUGGGUCAGCAUGAAGAAGAAAAACCACACAAGCAGCUCUUUGGAGGCAGAGUGCUAUGGGCCAAACCACUAACUUAAGCAAUUAACCUUAGGAAGAUAAACAGGAUACAGAAAGAAGAGAAAGCAGACAACUGUAAAGGACAAUUGUGUCUUACUGAUCUACUAUAAUUCUUUGCACAUCUCAACAAAUAAAAGCAGAUGUAUCAUUUUGGCUUGGCUAUUU
ensembl:lncRNA